GACGAACGCUGGCGGCGUGCUUAACACAUGCAAGUCGAACGGAAAGGCCCUGCUUUUGUGCGGUGCUCGAGUGGCGCACGGGUGAGUAACACGUGAGUAACCUGCCCUUGACUUUGGGAUAACUUCACGAAACUGGGGCUAAUACCGGAUAGGAUCUCUUGCUGCAUGUGGGUGGUUGGAAAGUUUCGGCGGUUGUGGAUGGAUUCGCGGCUUAUCCGCCUCUUGGUGGGGUUGUGGCUUACCAAGGCUUUGACGGAUAGCCCGCCUGAGAGGGGUAACGGCGACAAUGGGACUGAGAGACGGACCAGAAGGGUAUGGGAGGCAGCGGGGGGGAGUAUGGCACAAUGGGGGGGAGUGUGAGACAGAGACGUCGCGAGCGGGAUAAUGGGCUUCGGGGGGUAAACCGCUGUCGACGGUGACAAAGACGGAGUGACGGUAACGAGUAAAGAAGCACCGGCUAACUACGUG
rnacentral:rRNA from 1 species